AAAUCACAGCAAGUUAAAUAAUGAAGACUCAAGUAAAGAAAAUAUUUGACAAAACAUAAAAAUCUACUCAAUAUUACAGAACUCAGGUAAAAGGGUCAUAUUCAGCUAAGUUAUAUAAACAAAAAUAAGUCAUUUACUUCUGUUUUUUUCUAAAUCAGAAUUAUCCCUAAAUCAGUCUUAUUUCUUUACAGUCUGAAAGAAGAAAGGCAGAGGUUCUACAGACUAUAUAUCUAAAUAGCAGUGUCUUACUCUCUUAUGGUGACAAAACCUUUUGGGGUUUUUUCCUUGCUAACUUGAAUUAUUGUGUCAGGGAAUCAAGUUCUGAGAAUUUUUAUAUUUGAUUCUGUUAUUUGCUGAGCCUGUUUACUCUUGCUUACUUGUGUAUGAUGUCAGGGCUGUCUACUUUGUACUGGAUAGCCAAUUAGGAGACUCAUCCUUUACAGAGGCCAGCUCUCCUCCUGUUAGAAUUUCUUAAUUGCCUGUAGCCUUAGGGGUGGGCCUUGCAAAAAUUUAUCUCUUCAUUGUUAGAAUACUGGUAGUAUUGCAGUUGUUUGGGUCGUUUUAGGAAGACAUAUUGCUGAAUUUUUCAUGGUUGAAGCAUUCCUGUCAUUUCUAGAAGAUACAAUACCAAAGCAGACUUCCUGGUUCUGUGGCUCUUAAACUCUUUCUACCCUUUCUUCCCUGAUGUUCCCUGAGCCUUCAGUAUGUUAUAAAGGUAUCAGUUGAACCUAAAUGGGGCCCACUAUUUCUGUGUAUUGGCCAGUUAUGGUUUUCUGAUGUUCUGCAUCUAAAGAAAAGUUAGGCAGAGGGCUUUCAUUGUGGAGGGUGUGAGGAAAGUCAAUACAGGAAAGGAAGAAAAGAGGGACAAGUUACCCUAGGGACAUUUUCUACAUCUUCAAGUAAUCAUUAUCUUGUAAUUACUUAAAUUAUAUAAAAAUGAAUACAAAUGAUGCGUGUACAUCAUGCCACUUGAGCUAACAAUGCUCUCCACCAAAGCCACAAUCUAUCCAACAAAAACCCUGUAAAAGGAAUGAGAAACCUCCCUUUGAGUGGUUGAUCAGGGUAGUCUAAAUGAUUCCCAAAACAACGUACACUGUUGCUAUUGCCCUUGGUUACUAUCCAGAGGUUGAAGUUACAUCCAUAUUGCUGAAGAUGCAAUACACUUUGGACAUAGAACCUGGAAGAUUUGAGGAGGGUAUUACCUGAAAGUCUGCUUCCUUAGAUCUAGCUUUCAGAGUAUCUGAAGGAGCUACGCAAGCUGCCAAAGGAGGGGAACUAGACAAAGUCAUUUCCAGCUGUGAUGCCUGUGAAACACAAUCUGCAAUAGUGGCCUCUAUAUAUUUGGGGUAACCAACAUUUGUCUAAUUGGACAGAAGGUCUCCUUUACAGGAAUCUGGUAUUAUAAUCCUAGCUAGUUAUCUGAGAUCAUGGACCUUGAAGAAGACCCUUAUAUCAACUUAUAUAUUUCCUUAACCAAUAUCACUAACUUCAUAUUAUCUACUUAUCCUUAUAUACACAGAUAAGUAUGCCCCCCCAUCAAGGAAACUAACUCUUCUUUCCAAAUUUUACCCUGUUUUUACUGUAUAAGGUAUCUGUUAAUUUGUUUACAAUAUUAGGCCAAUGUAUUAAAAAAAUCACAUGAUCAAUAGUUAAUACUCAGGCCUCCAGUUUGUUAUUAUAGAAUACAAAAUUAUUAGAGCAUCAGUUCUUUAACUGAAAUGCCUAGCACUUUUAAUAAUAUUGGGUUGUAAAAUUCAGAAUUGUAUUGGUUUGAAUUGGGAAUGUGGCAACAAACUCAUCCUAAUUAACAUGGGAGCCUUCAAACUCUAACCCAGCACUUCCCCAUUAAAGCCUCAAUUCACAUACAAACUACACAUAUCAUUUUAAUACAUUAAGCUGAAAUUUGUUACUGAUUCCUAAAUUGUACUUAUCGGUGGUGUGUGUGUGUGUGUGUGUGUGUGUGUGUGUGUGUGUGUGCAUGUGUGUUUCUGUAUUUGUGAAAGUGAGAGGAUACCUUCCAGGAGUCAGUUUCCACUUUUUUUUUUUUUUAGUAGAAAAUUAUAUAACCCAUGAAACCAACUCACUGGCUCAUGGAAUUUAUUUUAAUAGCGUAUUUCAAUGUCAUAUAUCCUAAUUAAAUUCUAACAUGAAAUGAUUAGAACAGUGACUGAGAUUUCUGCAUUGAACUCUGCACUAAUAUGUCAAAACCCUGUGUGCAUUUUCCACUGACCACACAUCUCUGUGUAGAAGAGCUCCAGGCAGGGGCUUUGUAGGCACUAUGGCCCUGAGCUUGGGAACACUAGCAAUAUCUCAGCUUCUCAUUAUGGUAAUUCCUUUAUUAAGGGCAUGAGUCACUCUCCCACAUUAAUAGACUCAAUGGACUGGCAAACCCAUUAACACAGAGAAACUUUUGCAGUGUCUGUGCUUAACACCUAGAGGCAGCAGCUACAUAUGAGUAUAGUGAAGUAUUAUGCACAUUUAAUACAUUCCCAAGCUAAAGAGUGACUAAGAACCUGCGUUCCCAAGCACCCAACAACCCAGGAUAGGCAUCUAUAGCAAGUCAAUGAUAGGACACUUCACUAUCUCUUUGGCCUGAGUAUGUAUGGAUGAACUACUAUCAUGGUGUCACAGUUAAGUAUUCUUAGAUCAUUCUAUCCUUCCAAGGACAGCAGGUUUGACUUUAUUCCUGAAAGUUAGUUUAUCAAGUACAUUGCCUGAUUUGAAUCAUUCUCAUUAUAAACAACUGAAUCAUUUCAUAAAAAGUGGAAAAAAUUGAAAACAAACAUAAUUGCCAACAUAUAAAGUGAUAUUUGAUAUGGUUCCUAUCAACUUUACUUUUAUUUUCUUAUAUGCACAGUUGUUCCAGAAAUAGAAUGUGAGAAUUGAUCAUCAGCAAUGUAGUGACAGAAGUGAUUUCAAAGAUGAUUGCCUAUAAAGCUCAGUUUUUGAGGAUACCCUUUAUGUCUCUGGAGCCUUUGAGCAUUGAGACAGACCAUAAACUGAACAUAGAACCAUUGUCCAACUGGAAGCCAUAUCCCAGUAUGAUGGCAUUUCGUCUUAAAAGGCCUUCCAGGAGCAUGUUCUCAGGUCUUUCUCUGUGAUGGUGAAUAGUGUGAAAUUGUAGGAUCAGGACUCCCUUAGGAGAUAAAUGGCAUACCAAAUUCAGUUAAUCGAGGCAGGAAGACCCUUCCCAUAACGAGGAUAGCACGUUUCCAUGGAAUGCAUCUUGCACUCACUAAAAAUCAGAAGCUGCAUUGAACACCAUAUCUCUUUAUGCUUCCUGGCUGUGGACCCAAUGUGACAAGCUGCUUCCAGUUCCUGCCACAAAAAAACCCCCACAAAAAACAAAAACAACAAAAAAAGGAAAGUAACCAUCACUUCCCCUCCAUGAUGAACAAUAUCCUCACACCCAAAUGUGGAAUGAAACAUGUCCUUCCUUAAGUUGUUUUUGUCUGGUUAUUUUUGCACAGGAUAAGAAAGUAACCAUUCAUUAGGUAAACACUCGACCAACUGAGCUACAUCACUGGCUUAUAGUCAAUGUUAAAUAAAAGUCAAAACUAGAAUAUACAGAAAAUAGGGUUAAAGUUUAUUUUUGUUUGUUUGUUUGGAUUCACCUUUUUGUCCUUGUUGAUAUAUUCUGUUAAAGACUUGAAGUGAUCCAUUUGCUUACACGGUUGCAUCACAGGGGAUUCGCCCAGGGACCAUGACCUGCUGGUGUGUAUAUAUAUUUACAAAAACCAAAUCACCCAUUCACUGGGACAUAAUGUAGCAAUCGCAAGUAAAGAAAGACCUUGGGUUUGUUUAGGUGUGAUACCUCAAUUCCCAAAGUUAAAAUGGGUCUUAAAUGUUUUUGUGACAGAAGGAUUUAUUCAGACUGCUAUAUUCUUCAUUUGAUGUAACAAAGUGCUAUUAUCUAAAUAUUUAUAAAUAAAGUACCUGUAUCUAGAUUUAAAAAAAGAAAGAAAAAAAUCAAAAACAAAACAACAAC
rnacentral:lncRNA from 1 species